CAGCACCUCAAGUGGUCAGGAUGAUUAUUGGGCCUAAAGCAUCCGUAGCCGGCGCUGUAAGUUUUCGGUUAAAUCUGUACGCUCAACGUACAGGCUGCCGGGAAUACUGCAGAGCUAGGGAGUGGGAGAGGUAGACGGUACUCGGUAGGAAGGGGUAAAAUCCUUUGAUCUAUUGAUGACCACCUGUGGCGAAGGCGGUCCACCAGAACACGUCCGACGGUGAGGGAUGAAAGCUGGGGGAGCAAACCGGAUUAGAUACCCGAGUAGUCC
rnacentral:rRNA from 1 species